GAUGAACGCUGGCGGCGUGCCUAAUACAUGCAAGUCGAGCGAACGGACGAGAAGCUUGCUUCUCUGAUGUUAGCGGCGGACGGGUGAGGAACACGUGGAUAACCUACCUAUAAGACUGGGAUAACUUCGGGAAACCGGAGCUAAUACCGGAUAAUAUUUUGAACCGCAUGGUUCAAAAGUGAAAUACGGUCUUGCUGUCACUUAUAGAUGGAUCCGCGCUGCAUUAGCUAGUUGGUAAGGUAACGGCUUACCAAGGCAACGAUGCAUAGCCGACCUGAGAGGGUGAUCGGCCACACUGGAACUGAGACACGGUCCAGACUCCUACGGGAGGCAGCAGUAGAGAAUCUUCCGCAAUGGGCGAAAGCCUGACGGAGCAACGCCGCGUGAGUGAUGAAGGUCUUCGGAUCGUAAAACUCUGUUAUUAGGGAAGAACAUAUGUGUAAGUAACUGUGCACAUCUUGACGGUACCUAAUCAGAAAGCCACGGCUAACUACGUG
rnacentral:rRNA from 1 species